GACAAAGAUCAACAUUCUCGUAGUAGGACGGCGCACACGCGAGGCGGUCUAGGGACCGCCCGGCGAGAGCCACGUGUGCGCAACUCAAAGGGCCCCAGCGGCCCUUUUUUAUUGCGCCGAG
rnacentral:sRNA from 22 species